CAGUCGCCGCGGGAAUACGGAGGGUGCAAGCGUUAAUCGGAUUUACUGGGCGUAAAGGGCGCGUAGGUGGUUAUUUAAGUGAGAUGUGAAAGCCCCGGGCUUAACCUGGGAACUGCAUCUUAUACUGGGUAACUGGAGUGCAGUAGAGGGUAGUGGAAUUUCCGGUGUAGCGGUGAAAUGCGUAGAUAUCGGAAGGAACACCAGUGGCGAAGGCGGUUACCUGGACUGAGACUGACACUGAGGCGCGAGAGCGUGGGGAGCAAACAGGAUUAGAUACCCGCGUAGUCCCUGUCUCUUAUAA
rnacentral:rRNA from 1 species